AAGAGACAGCAGUAGCCGCGGGAAUACAGAGGGUGCGAGCGUUAAUCGGAUUUACUGGGCGUAAAGCGUGCGUAGGCGGCUUCUUAAGUCGGAUGUGAAAUCCCUGAGCUUAACUUAGGAAUUGCAUUCGAUACUGGGAAGCUAGAGUAUGGGAGAGGAUGGUAGAAUUCCAGGUGUAGCGGUGAAAUGCGUAGAGAUCUGGAGGAAUACCGAUGGCGAAGGCAGCCAUCUGGCCUAAUACUGACGCUGAGGUACGAAAGCAUGGGGAGCAAACAGGACUAGAUACCCCUGUAGUCCCUGUCUCUUAUAC
rnacentral:rRNA from 1 species